rnacentral:tRNA from 1 species
GCCUGGGUGGCUCAGUCGGUUAAGCGUCUGACUUCAACUCAGGUCAUGAUCUCACAGCUUGUGAGUUCCAGCCUCGCACUGAGCU